rnacentral:rRNA from 1 species
AAUAUUGGACAAUGGGCGAAAGCCUGAUCCAGCCAUGCCGCGUGGGUGAAGAAGGCCUUCGGGUAGUAAAGCUCUUUUGCUGGGAAAGAAAAGCAGUCGUUUAAAACACGGUUGUUAUAACGGUACCUAAAGAAAAAGUACCGGCUAACGUCGUGCCAGCACCCGCGGUAAUACGAAGGGUGCAAGCGUUACUCGGAAUUACUGGGCGUAAAGCGUGCGUAGGUGGUUCGUUAAGUCUGAUGUGAAAGCCCUGGGCUCAACCUGAGAAUUGCACUGGAUACUGGCGGGCUGGAGUACGGUAGAGGGUGGCGGAAUUCCUGGUGUAGCAGUGAAAUGCGUAGAUAUCAGGAGGAACAUCCGUGGCGAAGGCGGCCACCUGGACCAGUACUGACACUGAGGCACGAAAGCGUGGGGAGCAAACAGG